UACGGAGGAUCCGAGCGUUAUCCGGAUUUAUUGGGUUUAAAGGGUGCGCAGGCGGAAGAUUAAGUCGGUGGUGAAAUUUUGCAGCUCAACUGUAAAAGUGCCUUCGAAACUGGUUUCCUUGAGUGUAGAUGAAGUAGGCGGAAUUUGUGGUGUAGCGGUGAAAUGCAUAGAUAUCACGAGGAACUCCGAUUGCGCAGGCAGCUUACUAAACUACUACUGACGCUCAGGCACGAAGGCGUGGGGAUCAAACAGGAUUAGAUACCCCUGUAGU
rnacentral:rRNA from 1 species